AUGUUAUAGGACAAGACAAAGAAAUUAGAAGUAGUCUGAUAGAUAACAUUUGCCAUGUUUGGAAAAUACUGAUUAUUUACUGAUGUAAUGAACAAAUUUGCCUAUGCAAACAAAAUAAGUUUCUUCCAAGUAAUGUCCAUUGUCAUGUUACAUCCUUUGUGAAAAGUCCUGUGCAACCUGUGUAUGAGGAUGUGUGCCUUUUGUUUGGGUAUUAUUGUAUACUUCCACUUCUUUCAUAGUUACUACAAUCCAUGAGGUGGCAGGCAGAUGUAAUGUUAUUUUUGCACAUGGGAAACUGAAGCUAGAAAUGUUUGUUCAUGCUAAUUCAAAUAGGUAGCAGCAGAACCAGAAUUAACGUGCUAUUCUCCAAAAUUGCUGCUGCUAUUGACAAGAGGUAGUUGAGCAUUUUCACCAUCUGUCAAUAUACUGUGAAAAUUUUAGUACCAAUUGAUGCUUUUGAGUUAAAGCAGAUCAGCUAUGAGAAGAACUAGUGGUAUACAACAUUGUACAGCUGAGCACGUGGCUCGGUGGGUGGAGGAGAAACUGCAUCCCCUUUGGGUCGUUGCCUGACUGAAGGGACCAUGUGCAUGAUAUGUUUGGGAGAUAGUAGAGGAAUAAAGUGAUAAUUUUGGGGGGAAGCUGUCAGUAGAUUGGAAGCCUGCAUAGUACAGCUGAAAUGUUUUAGGUUUGCUGGGUAGGCAAUAGGGAACUUUUGGUAGUGUCUUAAAUGGGGUCAUUGUAAUCACUCCUAAAUUUUGGAAAGAUUUUUAAAGAAGAGGGGCUUGAGGGCUUUGACCAGGUUCUAGGCACUGGAAAUAGUAAAGAAACUACAUGAGAGAACUGUUGAAAUAAAAAAGAGCCCCAUGAUUGUCCGUACAGGUUUUGGUGGGAAAGAUGUUACAAAAAUAUUCGGUUGAAUACAUGGAAAUAAUUGUAGGAUCAUACAUGAGAACAGAAGUUGUAAAUGGGGCUGUUUUGGGGAAUGGAUGUUAAAUUUGGGAUUUAUACGUGCUGAAUUGGGAAAAAGUGAAAUAGUAAGUGGAAAUGACCUGAAAGUUGGAGAUGGAGGCCUGGACUAGGGAAGGUGCUGGAUUGUUUAUAUUUAUGUCAAGUCCUAAGCAGAAAGAUAAGAGGUUCUGACCCAGAAUGUGUCAGAUGGGUGAGAUAAGGAGGGUGUAGAGGAGACUGCACUGGGGAAAGAGACAGAGAUAGAGCCUUGGAGGGCAGGUGAGAGCCAGGCGAGCAAAGUCCAGGCCAGGGAGCUUUUCAAGUCAUGUGAUGGUCAAGCCAGACCCAACGGGUGCCUGGAGGGAGAGGCAAGAAGGAGGUCCUGGGAGACCUGGAAGCCGUUGGUGGGAAAGGGGCAAAGGGAAGUGGAGCCAGGAGACCAGCAGGUAUUGCAGAAGUACUCAGACAGUUUGAUUUUAGUAUGGAUGGGGUAGCUUAGGACAGUGAAUGAGAAACAGGUGUGUUACUGUGGGUUUAGGGUCAUCUGGGCCACUCCUGGCAUCUGGAAUUUCCCAGACAUGCCAUUUGAAGCCACGCCAGAUGCUGUGAGUUACUGCUUUGAUGUUUUGUAUUUUGUGUUGUUUUCUGCAUGUAAUUGUGUUUGCACUGGAUGGAAAUGGAAAAUACCAGCUUUCCAGAGGAGGAAGGACCAGUGAGGGGACAGAAACCCAAAUUACUUAUCCAGAAUAGAAAACUGGAUUGUGAUUGAGCUAGGACCCCAACCAAGGUCUCCUGACUCCUGGAUGAAAAUUUCCUGGAUGACAGCAGCCGUCAAAACCAAUGGAACCUGUCCCUGCUUUCCUUUUUAGCUACAUUUCAUUUGUCUGUUCAUUUAUCUAUUUACUGGACUUGGGACAGUCUUUUUCACAUUUUUUUUUCUGUCAACUCAUCUUCUUUUAUGAAGAACAGAUUAUCCACCUUCAGUGACACUUGCCCCCCACUAGCUUUUCUCAACUACAAACAAAAUACAGCACAGAAUUCACAGGAACAUGUAGGCAGUGGGAUGAAGCUUUGAGCCUUUUUUCUACAAAGAGCUAGUCCUCAGUGCUGUAUGUUUGGAGCAGUGCUAGGCCAGUUGUUUUGUUGGACAGACAAAGGUCAGUAAAAAGGGGUUUAUUUGAUUUUUAAUUAGGAAUAUUUCAUGUUAAAGUUACUUACCUGUAAGUAAAAGCUCUUAGAAAAUCUAAGUUAACAUAUCAUGAAAUAGUAAACAGUGAGAUGAGGGAAUAUAUGAUUAAGUCCUGGAUAGAAGUGAAAGCAGUAAACGUUAUUAUAUUAUAGGUAGAGCCUGUAGUCUCCCUUUCUUAUUCAGUGUAGUCUGUUACUUGCAGCGCAUUAGAAAUAUGAUUUCUAGUAAGCAGUGCUUAUGCUCAUAUCUCCUGACAGCGUAGCAGUUUGAAGGUCUUAAAGGGUGUGUCAUGACUAGGUUUGGAUUUUUCUGCCUUUCAGUGUACUAGUACAUUUUGGAAUAGCUCCGGAAAUUAACAGAAACAUUUGCUGGAAGGAGGAGGUUACUAUUUGUAUUUUAAAUCAGUUGCUUAGCGUUUUGUCAUUGUAUCAGCUUUCAUGGGAAAAAGGUUGAAACCUGUAGCCUUGUAUCAAAUUGGCUAAAAAAGAAAAAUUAGUGUUAAAUUAUAUUUUGGUUUAGUCUAGCAGCUUGGGAUAAAUUGAGGCAAUAGCAACCUUCAAAGCUGGUGUCCAUCUGUUAGUAAAGUGUGUAGUUAACAUCCACGGUGCCGUGCAGUGUCUGCUUUGCGCUCUGGCCCUGUUAGUCAGCAAAGCGCAGGAUGUCAUGGUGGGCUUGGAGCAGGGAAGGGCUGGAGAAAACCAUUUGCAGGAGCCCUGGUGGAGGCAUUGCAGGCUGUUGGGUCUCCCCCCAGCAGAGAGAAUGGUCUUUAGGGGCAUUUUGGCCAGGGUUGCUGGGAGAGGCUUUCCCAAAUACUUGGUAGCAGUUGGGUGAAAAGCUGCUGGAGCAUCUUCUGGCUCUGUUGAUGUUUCUUACGGACUUCCAGCUCAUUAGUGAAAAAAUAGAGUCAACAUCUUUCUUUGCAGGGUGAGAAAGAAACACUCAGAGAUUUUAUUUGGCUUUUAAUUAGGGAUUAUUCCAGUGCUAGAGUGAAUGGUCUCAGAAAUAUUAAGUGUUCAGUUUGAAUUAGUUUAUUACAGAAAAGCUUCUUGGUUUGCAGUAUGAAAUCUGCAACUAAAGUUUACACUUUUUACUUAGGCAGAAAAUAUAUACUGAAGACAUGGCCUUUGGAGCUUCAACUUUUCCACCUCAGUAUUUAUCUUCUGAGAUAACUCUUCAUCCAUAUGCCUAUUCUCCUUAUACCCUUGACUCCACACAGAAUGUUUACUCAGUGCCUGGCUCCCAGUAUCUUUAUAACCAACCCAGUUGUUACCGAGGUUUUCAAACAGUGAAGCAUCGAAAUGAGAACACAUGCCCUCUCACACAAGAAAUGAAAGCUCUGUUUAAGAAGAAAACCUAUGAUGAGAAAAAAACGUAUGAUCAGCAAAAGUUUGACAGUGAAAGGGCUGAUGGAACUAUAUCAUCUGAGAUAAAAUCAGCUAGAGGUUCACAUCAUUUGUCCAUUUACGCUGAGAAUAGUUUGAAAUCAGAUGGUUACCAUAAGCGAACAGACAGGAAAUCCAGAAUCAUUGCAAAAAAUAUAUCUACCUCCAAACCUGAGUUUGAAUUUACCACACUGGACUUUCCUGAACUGCAAGGUGCAGAGAACAGUAUGUCAGAGAUACAGAAGCAACCCAAGUGGGGACCUGUCCACUCUGUCUCUACUGACAUUUCUCUUCUAAGAGAAGUAGUAAAACCAGCUGCAGUGUUAUCAAAGGUGAGGUGAGGGUUUUUCUCUCUCUUUUUCUUUUUCCUUUGUACACUUUAAAUUGUCUCAUUUCAAACAUUACACAUUAAAUCUUGCUGUGGGCUUUGAUGUCCAUGGAGAUGGGGAGGAUGUAUUGGGGGAAGCCUUUCAUUGAGCACUUAGAUGACCUUCUUUGUUUGAACAGUUUAUAAUGAGGCUGUAACAUCUAGUGCAUCUAUUGUUUUAUUUGUGUGUUUUGUUUUGUUUUGUUUUUGAAACGGAGUCUCGCUCUGUCACCAGGCUGCAGUGCAGUGGCACGAUCUCAGCUCACUGCAACCUCCGCCUCCUGGGUUCAAGCAAUUCUCCUGCCUCAGCCUCUCGAGUAGCUGGGACUACAGGUGCACGCUGCCACGCCGGCUAAUUUUUUUUUGUAUUUUAGUAGAGACGGGAUUUCACCAUGUUGCCCAGGCUGGUCUUGAACUCCUGAGCUAAGGCAAUCCGCCUGCCUGGGCCUCCCAAAGUGCUAGGAUUACAGGCGUGAGCCACCCACGCCACUGUGCCCGGCUGUAGCUAUUGUUUUAAAAGAAUCACCUAGUAUACCUUUUUUUUUGUGGGGAGGGAGUCUCACUGUGUUGCCCAGGCUGAAGUGCAGUGGCGCGAUCUUAGCUUCUUGGCUCACUACAAUCCCCGCCUUCCGGGUUCAAGCAGUUCUCCUGCCUCAGCCUCCGGACUAGCUGGGACUACAGGUACAUGCCACCAUAUCUGGCUAAUUUUUUUGUAUUUUUAGUAGAGAUGGGGUUUUACCAUAUUGGUCUGGCUGGUCUCCAACUCCUGACCUCAGGUGAUCCACCUGCCUCGGCCUCCCAAAGUGCUGGGAUAACAGGCUUGAGCCACCAUGCCCAAUCUAGUAUACUCCUUUUUAUAUGGUAGCUGAAAGGUAUUGUGGUGCCUCAGAAGGAAAAGGUUGUAACAGAGUCUAGCCGCUUUGACAGCCCAUUUUCAACACGCUACUUCUAACAUGCUGAUAGCACUUUUUCCAAUAUAGAAAAAAAAGACUUUUAUAAAAAUUGAAAUACAUUAAGUCCUCACAUAAUGUUGUCAAUAGGUUCUUGGAAACUGCAACUUUAAAUGAAAGGCUGUAUAGUAGGUCCUCCAGUAACAUUUUCUUCACCAUCAUUUCAUUAUGAUGUUGAUGAAAAAAGGAAUUGGUUUUGUUUUAUGUUGUUUUGUUUAAAGUCACAGUUUCCAAGAACCUGUCCAUGGUACUGAGGACUUAACUGUAGUAAUAUUUAAAACUGCAUAGUGUAACUUUUGAAUUUUCCAGGCUUUUAUUACAUCUUUGUCUUGUUAAUGAUGCAGCAAAUUCAGGAAAACUUAUUACAGCAGGUAAUUCACUUUGUUCAACAUUUGAUCUAAGAGUUUUAGUCCACCAAGUUGAGGCAUUUCUCUCAAAUGGAUUGAUUUGAGACUUCCAGGAAGAAAUAGUGUCUGGUUAGUAGUUCCUAAAAUGGCUUCUGAUGAAUUUCCACUGAAGGAGCAGUGGAGUACAUGCCAAUACGAAGGCAAGUAGAAAGAAGAAAGAUAAA
rnacentral:sRNA from 1 species